UUGAACACACUCUUGCCUGCAUAAUAAAUUUACUAUCGGAUGAGACAACUCAUCGGGUAGGUCAUGAGGGAACGAAAUAACCUAUUCUGUACUAUUAUGGAAGUGGUGGUGGACUUAGACGCAUUCCUUGAGGUUGGAGGUUUGCCUGCAAGACUACAUCGCCUGGUGACCCUGGCACGAUCGGAGGAGCCACCUUCCACAUCAAGAGUCGAGACAGGGUGGCAGUUUC